rnacentral:sRNA from 1 species
GCUGGGUGCCGUGGUGGAUGCCUGUAAUCCCUGCGGCUCAGGAGGCUGGGGCAGGAGGAUCAAGAGUUCAAAGUCAGCUUCAGCAACUUAGUGAGGCCCUAAGCAGCUCAGUGAGACCCUGUCUCCA